UCAGGAUGAACGCUAGCUACAGGCUUAACACAUGCAAGUCGAGGGGCAGCAUGGAGUUGCUGCAAACUCUGAUGGCGACCGGCGCACGGGUGAGUAACGCGUAUCCAACCUUCCCUAUAGUAGAGGAUAGCCCGGCGAAAGUCGGAUUAAUACUCUAUGUUUUCCGUUGCAGACAUCUAAGAUGGAACAAAGGCUUGCCGCUAUAGGAUGGGGAUGCGUCUGAUUAGGUAGUCGGCGGGGCAACGGCCCACCGAGCCAUCGAUCAGUAGGGGUUCUGAGAGGAAGGUCCCCCACAUUGGAACUGAGACACGGUCCAAACUCCUACGGGAGGCAGCAGUGAAGAAUAUUGGUCAAUGGACGAGAGUCUGAACCAGCCAAGUAGCGUGCAGGACGACGGCCCUAUGGGUUGUAAACUGCUUUUAUGCGGGGAUAAAGUUCACUACGUGUAGUGUUUUGUAGGUACCGCAUGAAUAAGGACCGGCUAAUUCCGUGCCAGCAGCCGC
rnacentral:rRNA from 1 species